rnacentral:rRNA from 1 species
AACGAACGCUGGCGGCAUGCCUAACACAUGCCAGUCGAACGAGACCUUCGGGUCUAGUGGCGCACGGGUGCGUAACGCGUGGGAAUCUGCCCUUCGGUUGGGAAUAACUGAGAGAAAUUUCAGCUAAUACCUUAUAAUGUCUUCGGACCAAAGAUUUAUCGCCGAGGGAUGAGCCCGCGUAGGAUUAGGUAGUUGGUGGGGUAAUGGCCUACCAAGCCGACGAUCCUUAGCUGGUCUGAGAGGAUGAUCAGCCACACUGGGACUGAGACACGGCCCAGACUCCUACGGGAGGCAGCAGUGGGGAAUAUUGGACAAUGGGCGAAAGCAUGAUGCAGCAAUGACGCGUGAGUGAUGAAGGCCUUAGGGUUGUAAAGCUCUUUUACCCGGGAUGAUAAUGACAGUACCGGGAGAAUAAGCUCCGGCUAACUCCGUG